AGAAUCAAAAAACUAACAGAAUUUGUGGCAACAGGUGAAGCAGGGUUUCAGCUCCACCCUUCCCCACACGCAGGGAGUGCUUCAGAUGGAAAGCAGCCUGCUGUGUACCCCUGUGAGCAGUACUGGGAGCACCUCCUGUGGGUGUGGACACACCGUGCAUUCUGAGAGCAAAAUCUGCCAAUCAGGGCCAAUCACAUGAGUGAUUCUGCGGAGGCUGAAGCAGGAUUGCCGAACUCAUUGUCAUGCGUGGCUAAACAGAGAAUUGAACCUUGUGAAAGGUUAGUGAUUUUAGAUAAUUUUAAAACGAUUGCACAGGAGGUGAUACAGCUGCUGUCAGUCUACCCUAAUCCUGUUCUCCGCUGGAUCUGCCCUUGCAGAGGCACUGCUUUCUCUCAGUGAUUAAGGGGAGACAUUGCUUUCAGAGGUGCUGAUUCAGCAGAGCAAAGAGUCAGUAAAUUAGCAAUGACUGUAAGGGAAUUUUAAAUAUUGGUAGAGUACCAAACUUCUACUGUUAUAGUGUCUUGGAGAAGAAAUUCUAAUUAAGUUACUCUACCAGGAAGUGUGGGAGAGAUGA
rnacentral:lncRNA from 1 species